rnacentral:lncRNA from 1 species
AUACGUUUGGCUCUCUCCGCUGGCCAUGGAUGGCCAUUUUUCUUUAAGAAAUUUCAAACAUCAGCCAUGGAGAUUGAACAAGUUGUUCAUAAUUAGAUUGAAAGCAAUCAUUAUGCAUGAACUAGUAGUUACUAUACAAUAUUAGCUUCAAGUAAAUAAUGCUGGGAGAACUGAUUGUUAAGAUUGCCUUGUUUGAAGCAGCAGCAUGUAUAUAUAUAUGCUUGCUUACAAGGUUUGUCUCUCAGAGUCCUUCUCUUUGUACUCUUUUCAGCUUAAUAUAUAAACUGUCUACUUAUUUACUUCUUUUAUUGCCAUUGAUUCUAGUAGUAUUAGACUCAUUAACUUGGAUACAUUGUCUUGUAAGAGAUAGCUUAUCUCUUAACAACUGUUUGGGUCAACAAAAUUAAUGUAUAUAUGAAAACGAAUAUUGAAUUUGGAUGUCCAAUCAAUUUUUUUAAUUAAUUAAUUAAAAAGAAUUGUUUUAAUUCAAAAAAUCUAAAAGAAUUUGAUAAAAAAUGUGGAAGGGCACACUUGUAUGAUGAAUAGUAGUGAUAAUAAUGAUAGAAGUCGUUUUCCUAGCACAAGUAUGGGAUUCGUCCAUUUGGUUUUAUAUUUAUCCACUUGCCUGAGUGUUUAAGAGUUAAAAAGGACAAAACUAUUAAGUAGAAAACACCAAACGAAUUGGAAGGCUUUUGUCUUCUUCAAUUAGUAUGACCUAUAUUUCUUAUUAAACUUCGUAUUUUACAUUCAAUAUCAUCAUCGCAAUCAUUUUAAUUUAUUUUCAUGAAUAAACUUUUAUGUCCCAUUUUAAUUGAAUCAUUAAAAAUUAUUAAUUGAAUUUUUUUUAAGUCAAGUGAUACUAAUUUGAUUUUUUUAAAAAAGUUGUUUGAAUUAAUUUGAUUUCGUGUCAUAAUUGACAUAAAUGGCCAUUGUGAAUGGCAACAUCAAUAGUUAUUGAGUACAGCGGCUAAAAUUUUCAGUUAAAAAAAAAAGAAUGAAAGGAAAACAAAAAGAAAAACGUGGAAAGAAAGAAAGAAAGAAAGAAUAAUAAUAAUAAUAAUAAUAAUAAAUAAAAUAGAAUUGUGGGGGCGAUGCUUUUGAACAAAUCUUGAUUUAAACUAUAUAAAGAAAAUAUGUGUUAUAUAUAUAAUUAAUUAUGUACUUAUACUUAAUAUAUUAUAUAUCUAAUGUCAUAUUUUCAUAUUCUCAGGAAGUGGUGACAUACAAAUACUUGAUUCGAUUUAUUUCUUUAGCUCCCCGUGAAUUGUAUGUUUGUAACAUUAGGGAUAGAAUUUCUUCAAUUAUCCAAUUGACUGGACGUAUUGUGUCGAUUUUUUUUUAGUAAUAUACCUAGAAAUACCCGUUGAUUCUUUAUAAACGCUGUUUCGAACACAACUGGUACACUCUAAAAUAAUUUACUUGAACAUCAUUACUCUUAGCCAUGAACCUCCUUUGAGUUUUUAAUUCACCCAACUUUUUUAUUUUCCGAUCAAAAGCAAAGAAGAAAGGAAUGAAAAGAAAAGAAAGAAAUCAAAGUUGCUAACUCAAAACCAAAUCCUGAAAAUUUUCAUUUCAAUGAAUAUAGUAAGUAAAUAUAGAUUUAUAGUAAUAGCAAAUAAUAAGAAUUAAGUAAUAUAACGAUUUUUAAUUCUAUUUAGAAUCAAUUAAAAUAUUCAAAUAAAUAUUCAAUUAAAAUAAAUUAAACUGUAUAAAUUUUAUAAUUUUAAAUUAUUAUUUUUGUAUUAAUUUAAAAACAAAAUAAAUAUUAUAUACAAUGAUUUAGUUACAGCGUGUCAGCUUGAAGUCUAAGACUUUAUAACAUAUAAAUUUAAUAGAUAAUUAAUAACUAAAAAAUUAAAUAGCAAAAGCAUAAUUGCGCCACUUCUCACCAUUUUAAUGUAUGCAACUUAUUAUAUAUUUAUAUAUAUUAUCAUUUUAUUUUAAAUAAUUUAAUUUUAUAAAUUUAGGGAUAAAUCUCAAAAUUAUACAUGAACUUUAAUUUAAUAUGCAAUUGUAUAUAUAAACUUUAAUUUGGUACAAUUAUACACGUGAUACUUUAAUUGUGGUUUAAAUACUCACUUGAAACUUUAGUUUUGAUUUAAUAAUGCAUAUUUAAAUAAAUAAAUACAUCAAUUUUUUUAUAUUGGGUAAAUAUAAUUAUUUAUGUAUGCAAUAUAUAACAUAAAAUGAUGUUAUAUCAAUAAUUGUGUUAAUAAUUUUCAAGAAUUGGAUCAAAUCAAAAUUUCAUGUAUAAAAUUGAACAAAAUCAAAGUUAAUGUAUACAAUUGCACAUUAAACCAUAAUUCAUGUAUAUUUUUUUGUAUAUAUCCCAUAAAUUUAUUUCAUUAACUUUUUACCUAUAUCAUAUAUAGAGUUGUUCGUGAACCGAGCCAAGGAAUGCCUGCUCGAAAAAAUGAGAGGGUUUGGCAAAAAAAUAUAUGCCUAAAAAAUGGGCUUGGAUAAAAAGACAAGGCCCGUUUAGAAAAUGAACCGGCAUUGAGUAGGGUUUUUUUGUCCGGGCUCAGCCUAACCCGAAUUUUCAAUUAAAAAAAACCUUGUUGUUUUUGCUGCUAUUUUUCCAUAUCUUGGUGUUGUUUUCUCACUUUUUGCCGCUAUUUUACUACCAUUUCACUAUUAUGUUACUACUAUUUUUUUUAAUGUUUGGAUAUAGUAUAAUAAUUGUUUUAUUGUUAAUUUUAUCACUAUUUUAGAGACAUUUGUUUGUUAUGUUGUACUUAUUUUAGUUUUUAUUUAAGUAUAAAAAAAUUUAAAAUUUAUUUUCAAUUUAUUGAUAAACAUGUAAUUUAAUAUUUUCAGUGUAUUUAUUGUAUUAUAUUUGUUAAAUUUAUAUAAAAUUAAAAUUAAAAAAAUAUGGACCGAGAUGGGAGUUUAACAAAAAUUUAGGCCCAUUUUUCAAGUCGGGCCGAUCUCAAACCUAACAAUCGGACUUAAAAUUUUGUUAGAGCUCGGCCCAUCCCAUGAACAACUCUAAUUAUAUAUAUAUGUCAUUCUCUAAUAAUAAUAAUAAUAAUAAUAAUAAUAAGUGGAUAACAUAAAACUAGUAGUAAAGAGUAAGAAGACAAAGAAGAAUUAAGUGGAUAACAUAAAACGUGCGAAAACAUUUAUCUUCAAUUCUGACACAUAAAGCUAGUAUUUUUGGGUAAAGUAUAGAAAUGGUGAUUAAAUUAUUGUUGAUGUUCUAUUUUAAUUUUUAAUUUUUCUAUUUUAGUUAUUAAAUUAUUUGAAAUUAAAUUUUUUGGUUAUCAAAGGUUAACAGUAGUUUGAAAUUUAACAGAAAUAUUGAUGUGAACUUUUCUUAUUGAUUUAAUAAUAAAUUUAGCCUUCUAAUAUUUAUAUAUUCUAUUAAUUUGAUACUAAAUAUAAAAAUUUAACAAAUUUAACCUUCAAUAUUUACAAAUUUUGUUAUUUUAAUUCAAAUUCUAAAAAAAAUUUAAUAAAUUUAACCCUCAACAUUAAAAAAUUUGAUAAAUUUCAAUUUUUAAAAUUUUGUAAAUUCCUAAAAUAUAAAGCAUCAUUCUCCACCUCAUAGGAUUCCAUGUAAAUGGAUUUUCUUGAAUUCUUUACCAAGUUGUCUUGAGUUUAAUUUCUUCUUAUUUAGUUUGUGGAAUAAAUGGCAUAUAGUUAGAUGUCACUGCAGCUGACAAUGAAAGGUUUGACAAAGUUGAUAAAUUCAGAGCUUUUGAUGCUGAGCUUCAAAUCAGUCUUGCCUCCACUCACCCAAGAAAUCAACUUUACAAUUUUUAUUAAGUCUUAACUAGAUUAAUAUGAGUAUUGUUAUCAAUAUAGGAGAAAGUGAAUUUUAGUGCGUUGAAACACAUUAUCUUCUUAUUGAUGAAUUGAGGAGGGGCUAUGAAUAGUUUUAAAUAUUAUAUUAAAAAAGCAGAGAUAAUUGAAACCUACAAUAAUAUUGUUCAAAAAAAUUACCUAAAAACACGAAAUCUUACUCCCUGAAUUUUCUAGAAACACAAAUAUUUCUCCCUGCCUUUGAUGGUGUAUACAUGCAUGGCCAUGUGUGAGCUCCUGCAUUUUAACUAAUCAACACAGAUAAUACCCUCAAUGAGACAUUAAAAUUAACUUUUAUUUUUGUUUUUUCAUAAAUUUUAUAAUUUUGUAUUUCAAUGAAAAAAUCUAAAUCUAAGUUGAUCCGAGUCCAAAAAAAAAUCUGAAGCUGUAAAAAGUUUGAUCUGAGGCUGCUCAUUUGCCACCUCUAAUAACCAUUUGAUAGAGGUUUAAUAUAAAGGAAUUUAGAUUUUAGGAAUUUAUAAAAUUUUUAAAAUUAAUUUUUUAUUUGUAAAUACUAAGGGAUAAAUCUAUUGAAGUUUUUAAAAUUUGAACUGAAAUGUCAAAAUUUGUAAACAUUGAAGGCUAAAUUUGUUUAUUUUUUCUAUUUAAGACCAAUCUGAUAGAAUGUGUACACAUUAGAAGACUAAAUUUAUUAUUAGACCAAUAAAAAAAUGCCCAACUUAACGCUUUCUCAAAUUUCAAACCGAUGUUAAUAUUCAAUGACCAAAAUUUUUUAUUUCAAAUAGUUUAGUGACCAGAAUAGAAAAAAAAUUAAAAGUUUGAUGACCAAAAUAGAACGCGGAUAAUAAUUUAAUGAUAUUUUUAUACUUUAUCUGUUUUUUAUGAUUAUUUAUACAUAUCAAGUGGAGCUAAUUUAGGGAAAAGAAUCAAUGGUUAAGGUUGUUGUUGAUACUUAAUGAUCAGGGUCCAAAUUUUGCUAAUGUAAUUUUCCUUAUCAUAAUUUGUAUCUUAAUUUUGUUACCAAAAAAAUAUUAGUAAUAAAUAAUAUAUGCUCGAGAAAUGUACGUAUGAUUGAUUUAAACAAUACAUGUUGGAGUAAUUUACAUAUGGAUUUAAAAUAAAUUUUAAAAAUAAAAUAAAAUUUUAAAAAUCCAAAAGUAUUUUUUCUUUUAAAAAAAUUUAAAAAUAAUUUUUAAAUUAUUUACAUGAUUGAUUUAAAGGAUUUCUUUCUAUUAAUUAUUUUUAUAUUAAAUUUAUUUUCCUUUAUGUAUAACAUUUAAAGGGUUUGUAUAUAUGCUAACUCGCGAGUCAAUUAAAAUUUGUAUUAUAUUCAUUGAAUUUUUUUAAAAUAUAUAUUUUAUUAAUUUAUUUAUUUAUUUGAGACCCAUGAUAAACUUGUAUUUAAAGUUAUUGGUGCACACUAUAAAUUCAUAUAUUGAAAAUGAUAGGUGCUAAAAGUAACAUGUUUUAGUCUCAUUCUUAAUGUGUUUUUGGAUGAUUAUUCGAUAUAAAAUGGUUAAUUUUAUGCUACUAAACUUUUCAAUUUACGUUCUACACUUAAUAGAGCAUUUAGGAGCAAAAGAAGCGAAAAACGAGCGAAAAUAAAAAAAAUAGGAGCAAGUCUCAAAAGCCACACAGGCUGAGCCAUUCCACACGGGUUGGACACAUAACCGAGUGAGCCACACGACCAUGUGCUAGACUGUGUGGAAAUCGCAAAUUACACUCCAAACGGCGUGAAAACACGUUAAUUUUAAGGUUUUUUAAGCAUUUUAAUACCUAUACAUGACAAAGAUAAGAAGAGGGGAGAGAGUCGUCAGAAAAUAUUAAAGAAAACAACUUAAAAAACACCAUUGAAGCUAACUUUGAAGCAAAUUUUCAUCAAGAUUGAAGAUCUCAUUUUGAUUUUUUUGAAGUUUAUUAUGAGUUUCUUUAUUUAUUGUAGUUAUACUGUCUUUAGGAUGUUUUUAUUUGCUAUCAUGAACGAAUUUUCUAAAUACCUAGGGAGAUGAAUCCUAUCAUGAAUUAUGUUAUUUGAUUUCUAUUUUUACGUAAUAAAGACUUAGAUCUUAUUCUCAAUUAUGUGUGCUUAAUUCUUGGUUUAAUAUUUCUAGACUAUUAAUCAAUGUUUGAUGUGCUUAAAUCAGAGGAGGAAUAAACCCUAUUUAAGAGUAGAUCUAGCGUAAAUGAGUGGAGUUGCAUGCAAUCCUAGAAAUAGGACAACAUAAAUCUACCGUAAUAGAUCCAAAUCUAAUAGGGGAAUCUAUAGAUCGAGUUAAUACGAUGAUAGAGGUUUUAAUUAGAAAUAAAUUUCAGUUAAUUAACCUAGAGUCAGUUACUCUUAGUCUUGAAGAGAUAUAUUAGCAUAAUUUAGGGAUUUUUACAGAUCAAUAUUCUAAGUGACGAAGUUGUGUAAUAUAGAUUGAUAAUGACAUAUGAAGUCUAGGUAGAUUCUUUCCUAGGUAUUGUCUCGCUCUUGGUUAUUAUUUGAUUAUUUUCUUGAUUUGUGCUUUGUUGUGUUAUUUAGUUAACUAAUUUAGUUAAUUUUAGUUCCAACCAAUCACUCCAAUUUAUCAGUUAAAUAAUAGAAAAGACGGUAAUUACUGGUACUUUUAGUCUUUGUGAAAACGAUAUCUUUGCUCACUAUAACUAUACUAUUAAUUGAUGUGCACUUGUCUGAGUUAGAUUUUUAGUUGGUUUACGACUGCAAUCAAAAAACUCAUUAAGUUAGCACAAACUAAGUUAAUUAUUCGUUGGUUGCUUUAUUUUUUUUCCUGAAGUUUCGAUUUCAUCUUUCAUUAUGUACAACAAUUUUGGUAUAAAAAUAUCAAAUUCUCGACACUUAAUAUAUACCUUUGAAAUAUAAACACAUGCAUCAAUUUUUUUAGGUUCCUCACAACUUACUUGUCCAAAAUUCUUGUAUCUUUCAGUUCUCCUGAUUGAAUCAAAAUUUGACUUUGUAAUUAUUUUUUAAGGACCUCAAACUAUCAAUUUAUAGUAUAAAUUUUCAAUAGCUUUCAUUCUUUACAAAUUGGUCCCUAAUUAAUCAACAAUGGUAUUAAAGCUUAAGCUUAGGGUCCCGUUGUUUCACUGAAAAUGGCUUUCGAAAAAUAAUUUCUAGAAAAUGACUUACUUUCCUAGAAAAGUUAAUAUUUUCUGAUGUUUGGAUGAAUCAGUGUAAAAUAUUUUAUAUUGUUUGACAAAUUUCUUAAAAAUAUUUCAUAAAAGCUGUUUUCAAUGAAACAAACAUGCAUUUGAGAUUUUCUUAUCUUUUCAUUGUUUAAUUAAGUUUAUCUUAUAUCUAUAAAUUUAUAUUUUACAUUUUUUUGCAUAUAAUAAAAAUAUAUAUUUUUUAAUUCAGGUUCACUACCAUGUCACUUUUUAGUUACAUGACUACCAAGUGAGUAUUUUUUUUAUUUAAAAAUGUGACAUCAACAAAAUUGACAAAAAAAAAAUUUAGCAAUGUCAACAAUUGGACUUGAUUUUCAAAUCUGAAAAGUAGAGGGACUAAAUUCUUGAAAAUAAAAGUAUAGAGACUAAAUUGAAAAUUUGUGAAGAAUACAUAGACUUAUCACAUUUUUUAACUUUUAUACUACAAAAUAUUUAUCAUUAAUAUAUUUAUAAUUAUAAUAAAUAUUUAUUAUUAAAAUAUUAAUAUUAAAUAUUUUCAAUAAGAAGAAUAUUAUUUAAAAUUAUUUUUUUUAAUUUUUUAUUAAAAUAAAAUUGAAAUAUUAAAUAAUUUAUUAAAAUAAUUAAUUUUAUUAAUAAUUAAUUUUAUGACUAAAUAUAAAUAAUUAAAUAUGUGUGUUUAAUAAUAUUGAAAUAUAUAAUAUUUUAUAUUAAUAUUUUAAAUAUUUUUAAAAAUAAAAAUAAAAUUUAUUUUCAAUAUAAUAAUAUUAAUAUUGAUUUAAAUGAAUUUUUAUAUAAAAAUAAAAUUACCUAUAGAUGAGCUCUUUUCCAGAAAAUGACUUACACUUUUCAAAAGGAUAAGUCAUUUUAUAGGAAAAAGAGUUCAAUUUUACAUUGACCUGUAAGUCAUUUUCCGAUGACCAAAAUGUUUUCUGUAAAAUAAACAUAAGAAAAUGAAGAAAAUAUUUUCCGUAAAACCUUUUACAUGUAAACAAACGGACCCUUAAUUCAAGCUUGUUCUAACAUAACCCACUUCACUAUUAGCAUGACUCUUCCUUAUACUAUGUUUAACCAUUAACCCUUCUCAUGAUUUCUAACAAAAAUUCUCUAAGUUCUCUUUAAUGGAAACUUCUAUUAGCUUCAACAAUAAGAAAUUCUAACCAUUGGGUUGGUUGUAUCAAGUUUCAUAGUUUAAAAAACUAUAAAAAAAUUAUUUAGAAAACAAUUUGUUUACCUUUGAUGGCCUUGAUGGAGAACAACUUGGUUUCUUCUUCUACUUAGUUUAAAGAAUGCAUGAAGAAGAAGAAGAUUUCCCCUCUCCCUCUAUCUUAAAUAUAUAUAUAAAUAACCUAUUAAUCAAGGUAAUUAACUCACUAAUUAAUCUUAAUUAGUUAUGAUCUAAUGGCCAUAAACUUACCAUAAGAAAAUUAGUGGAAAUGUGUGGCAUUGAUAAUGGUUUGCCAAUAAUCAAACUUCGGGCAUGGUAAUAUUGCAAUCAGGUCCUUGGUUUAAUUACACUUUAAGUACUUGCUAAAUUCUCUAAUCAAUUCCCACUAGUUGGAUCACUUGAACAAUUGGGUCCAUGUAUUAUAGUUACAACUUAUCUAAUUUAAUCAAUUAAUGAUUUGACUUUAUAAUUUCAUGUGCAACACACAAACUCCUCCGGUAAAUUCUCAAGCUAGCUUUAUUUAAAAAUUUGGCCUCAAAACCAGCUUUCCAAAUGUUCAUGAAAAUUGAGUUGUUACAUUAUGGUAUUUGUUUUGUUCAGCUUAUUUGUCAAGCUCUAUUCCUUUGAACUUAUGUUCGUUGACUUUGGUGUUGCUUAAAUGAAAAUGUGGUGAACAAUAUUAUGGAUAGGAGGAGUGUAUGAUUGAGUAUGUGUAACACCCCUAACCCACAUCCUUCGCCAAAUUAAAGUGACAGAGUGUUAUUAUUCAAAACAGAACAUUCCAUGACAACACAUAAACAAUUAUGCAAAUUAUCACAAUCAUUAAUUAACCAUAUUAAAAUAUAACAUAAGUAUCCAUACGACCUUUAAAUCGAGCUUAUAUGGCCUUAAAAAUAGCUUGGGAUCAAUCUAGGAUCAAUUUGGAACAUAACAUAAAUUUUAAGAAAAAUCUAAAAAUUUUGGGAAACAUGGGUCACACAACCGUAUGUCCAGGCCGUGUGACAUAGCCCAGACCUUGUGGGAAUUCAAAAUCAGGACACUCAAUCAUGUCCUAGCCCGUAUGUCUACCUGUGUGAAUAUUUGAAAUAGGGUCCCACAGUCGUGUCGCGGCCAUGUGCUAAACCGUGUAUAUAUUCAAAUUAUGAACACAUGGCCGUGUCGCAAGCCAUGUGCUAGACCGUGCUCAAAACUAUUUUGAGACACACAGCUGUGCCUUAGGCUGUGUGAAAUUUUCACUUUAGACAACGACACACAGCCGUGUGCCAGACCAUGUACACCAAAAUGUACCUUAAAAAUCAAAUUUACCAAAACAUGUUUACUUAGGCAUCAAGCAACCUAAUUACCAUCAAUCAAACUCAUUCAAAACACAAUUAAACAGGUUCAAAACAUCCAUCCUAAGUGCCUAGCCAUUGUGCCCUCAUUGACAUCAUAAUUCAAUAAUCAAAUCAAUCACAUUUAAACCAAGAUUUAAACAUUCAAAUUAUAAAAUCAUCAUUAACCAUUCAUACCAAAACACUGAUCAUUUCAAGUCAUAAACACCUAGCAAUAUUCACAUACUUUAUAAAGCUUAACUACCAAUACCAAAUAAGAUCCAUACACACAUACAUACCAAACAAAACACAUAUUCACAAGUAUCAUUCAAGAUUUACAACUUUACAUGUAAUUAACAUAAUUUCAAGUCAAUUAUUACAUGUCAUACAACCCAAAACAAACACUAAACAAACUACCAAUAGUUUCUCGAAUAGUGUGAUUCUUGAAAUCAAAUUGAUCACCCGAAGCGUCAAAAAUAAAUCUACAAGAAAGCAUUGGAAGAGACACAAGAGUAAGCUUACUUAAGCUUAGUAAUUUCCAUGGAUUUAAACAAUCAACUUACCGGAUAAACUUAUCUAAUAUAGAGUAUAGAAAAGUCAUAAAUCAUAAUCAUGUCAUCCAUAAUCAGAUCACGAGUGAGUCUUAAACUUAAAUAUGAAUGAAUUAAUUCAAUCAAUUACAUUAUAUCACUAAAUUAUACCCGAUGAACGUUGCAAUGGAUUUGGAUACACAGUUAACCAACCAAACACUCCAAAUCACUCAAAUGAGCUAGCCAUCUGAAAGUACACAUGGGCACCAAGUGCCAAGCCCAUAGGCUAACAUCCCUCCGAAACACACCUUGUCACCAAGUGCCAAGCCCGUAAGCUUUACAUCUGCCCCAGAAACACACCUGAAGCACUGCAAUAUAACGUAAUAGUUCGCAACAAAUGUUGAACUUCAAUAUAUUCAAUAAACAUGAAUAAGAUCAGAAUCAUCAUCUCCACAUCCACCAAUCUCGUAAAGCGCACGAUAUAACUUAUUGACAUGCCAAUUGUAUCCUAUCAUACAUUCAUCGGCUCACAUAUUUGUCAUUUAACAACAUUUAAUACAAUUUCUUUCCCAAAUCAUUUCACUUACCACAAUUCAAUACUUCCAUGUCAUUUAAUAAUUUCAAUCCACAAGUAAUUAAAUAUUUAAAUUAUACUAAAAUUAAACUGUACAAACUCACUAGGGCCAAAUUGCAGAAACAACAAAAGUUCAGGGACUAAUCAACAACCUUCCCUUUUUCCACAAUUAUCAACUUGAUCUUGAUCUAUAAUAUAAUUUAUUUCAAUUAUUAGCCUCAAUUUUCAUAUUCUAAUCAUUUCAAAACAUAUGAUCUCUUAUUUAUAAAUUUACACAUUUAUCCCAAAUUUUUACAUAUUAUACAAUUUAAUCCCUAUGACCAAAUCAAGCUUAGUUCUACAAUUAAAUUCUCAAUCCAUAGAACUAAAUUUUAACCACAUCCAAAACAAUCCAUAUAUGCUAAAAUUUUCAAGAGUAACAUGUCUAUUUCAGUUAAAUCACUAAACAUCAAAUUUUGUAAAAAUCACUUACAAACUCAAUACAUAUGGUCACCAAGCUUCAACCCAAACUAUUUACUACUACAAAUCUUCGAAAAUUUCAAUACAUAAUUUCUAUACUUUGAUAACUUCACAAAUAAACUCCAAAACUAGCUAAAUUCCAUUAUCAAUAGCUCAAAACUUAAAAUUUGAUGAUGAAUAAACCAAGAAAAUACUUACAUGCAUUAAAAACUAACAAAAACCAAGAUCCAAGCCUUAGAACAAUGGUGUUUCGGCCAAACCUAAGAAAAAUAAAGAAGAUGACCACUACCCCACUUUUGUUUUACUUUCCUUUUAUUAUUAUAAUAAUCUUUAUUUAUGAAAUUAUAACAUUAUAAAACACCAAUUUAAUUUUUUUUCUCUCUUUACCGCCCAUAUUAACUAACUAUGGGCUAAUGGCAACAUAACCUCCCUUAGUUUACUAAUUUAAGCUAUUAUAUUAAAAUAAAUCUAUAAUAAGCAACUUUUCCACCUAUUACAUAUUAAUCUUUUUUCUUUAAUCAAUUCACUAUACGUUAAAUUUUCUAAACCAAAACUUAAUACGACACUGAUGACUUUGUAAAUAUUAAAUAAUUAAUAAUUCUAGACUGACACGUCGAAAGUGUAGUCCUAAAACUAUUAUUUUCGACACCACUGGAAAUCGAACUGUUAUAGUAUGAUUCUACCUCUUAGGGGGAGACGUAUUCUAGUUUCCUUUGACUUGUUUAGAUGAUGUGUUAAUCAUUUGCUACUGGUUUUGUCAAAAUGCCAAAUGGUGAGAUUGUUUCAAACUUUGUUCAUGUUCGAACAUUAGAUUAAACAAUGCUUAAUUUGAUGCAUUCAAAGAAUUUAUGUUGGCAUGUUUGACUUUAUAAUGAAAUGGCUUAUGAUUUAAUCUCGUUGAGUAGCAAAUGGGGAAGUGAUUUUGUGUUAUAACAUGUGAUGAUCAUUAUCUUUCAAUCAACUACCUUGAAGAAGAAUGGGAGGAGUUUGAACUUUUGUGGACUUUCGUAAUAUUUGAAGCUGCUAAGAUACUUGUUUAUAAAGACUUUUAUGAUAUAACUAAUCAAAAUAAUUCAUGUCAGAAUUUUUGGAGUUUUAAACUUAUGAAGACUCUAGUAUUGGCCUAUAAAUAGGCAUAAUUACCGCACAUUGAAAAUAGGCUUUUGGAGGGUUUAAGUUGGAUGCUUUGGUGAAUUUUUCCUGUGUUUUAUACAACACUCUUUUUUAAGUUUUUAUUGGGGGAUAUUUGCUUGAUUGUAAGUGAGAUAUUUUGGAGAGAGUGAUUUGUAAUAAUUUAGGUUCAAUAUUGAAGUUGCAAAUAACUACAAGGUAAUGGUAAUUUGGACUCUAGUCAAUAGUUAAUCAAGACGAAUUGUAAAUAAAAAUUAUUUUUUAAGUGAAACUUUACAGAAUAAAACUAGUGAACUCAAACUACGCUAACAAAUAUUAUAUACUAUCUUUCCUUACUUUACUCGUUGCUUUACCUUAUUUUAAAAUUGCUUUGUCAUAAAUGUAUUAUGUUUGACCCUUUCCGAUCGAAAUAAAAAAAUGAGAUUGAAAUUGUGAUAAAGCUAAAAAAAAGUUACAACAAAUAUGAUUAAUAUUAUUUUUAUAUAUACUUACUAAAAUUUAAAAAGGAAUUACAUUUAUCGAAUAUUAUUUUAUUUAAUAAAUAUAAUUAAUAUAUUUUAUAUAAAAUUUAAACUUUUUAUUAUUUGUUAGCUAAAUUUUAUUAUUUUUAUUUUCUUUAUGAAUAAAAUUAAUUUUCCUAAAAUUUGAGAUAAAAAAAUGUUAUAUAGAAAAUUAAAUUAGUAAAAAGUGCAGUUCAUACUUUAUAAUUAUUAUAAAUGAAAAAAUAUUAUAAAAGAUAAAUAUUAAACAUAAAAAAAUCAAUUCUAAAAUAAACUUAACUAUUAUAAUAAAAUAUUUUUAUAUAAAAAAGAAAUUAUAGAAAAGACUUACUGAUUAUAUUUCCAAUUUUCGACAUUCAUAAAAAAAAAGUGGUCCUAAUAAUUUAUUUAUACAAAAAAAAAAGUGGUCCUAUUAAUUAACCUCACAUUUGAAAUGUGUUAUAUGUAAUAAUAUUAAUAUCUUUAUCAAUUUUGGAGGUUCAUCCUUUCCCAUCUCUAUAAAUUCGCAUGGAGAAAUAAAGCAAUACAUCAACACAAUCUGUAUAACCAUGAAAACCACAACAGCUUCAGUGUUUCUUCUUUUCAUCAUCUUCUCAGUCACACCAUCAUCCUUUUUGUUUGGUGUAGCCAACGCUACAAACGAACCUGUACUCGACUUUGAUGGCAACGAGGUUCAAACAGGCACCCCAUAUUACGUUGUGUCGUACAUAUGGGGUGCUGGUGGUGGGGGGCUUGACCUAGGCAGGCCUAGUGGAAACCCAUGCCCGGAAGUCGUUGCUCAAAGAGGAUCCGGUGACAAUGGUAUUCCGGUGAUAUUUUCUAAUUCGGACUCCAACGAUGGCGUUGUUCGCCUAUCCUCUGACAUAAACAUAGAGUUCAUUUCCCUCAGACCCAAACUUUGCCGAACAACAACAGUGUGGAAGGUCGAUGAUUACGACCAUUCAGCCGGAAAAUGGUGGGUGAUAACCGAUGGGGUUAAAGGGAACCCAGGUGCCAACACUUUGACCAGUUGGUUUAGAAUAGAGAAGGUGGGUACUGAUUUUCAAUAUUACACAUUUAAGUACUGCCCCGCAGUAUGUGGAACAUGCCCAGCCUUAUGCAACCAAAUUGUGAGAGACUUUGAUGGAGAAAUGGUACGUUUGGCUCUCACCACUGGCCAUGGAUGGCCAUUUAUCUUUAAGAAAGUUGGAAAAUCAGCCAUGGAGAUUGAACAAGUUGUUCAUAAUUAGAUUGAAAGCAAUCAUUAUGCAUGAACUAGUAGUUACUACAUAAUAUUAGCUUCAAGUAAAUAAUGCUGAGGGAACUUAUUGUUAAGAUUGCCUUGUUUGAAGCGGCAGCAUGUAUAUAUAUAUGCUUGCUUACAAGGUUUGUCUCUCAGAGUCCUCCUCUUUGUACUCUUUUCAGCUUAAUGAAUAAACUGUUUACUUAUUUACUUCUUUUGUUGCCAUUGAUUCUAGUAGCAUUCGACUCAUUAACUUGGAUACAUUACCUUGUAAUUAACCAAAAAGUUAUGUGUAUAUAUAUAAAGAGUGUGUGAGAGAAAAAAUAGAAUACCAAGUACCAAGUGAAAAAUGUUAAUACUAGGAUUAUUCAAAGCGAUUUCAAUGAACAGAAAUGGAAUAGUCGUCGGGUGGUUAGGGCAUUUUAUCUUUAGAGAUAAAGAAGGUUGGUUCAUGUUCGGAGUUUGUGGCUACUCCUUCAAUAAUAUCGUUUUUAAAGUUUAAACUUGUAUCACAUUUUAAACACGUAAUGUAUCUUACCAUUACAUCCAACAAUAUUAACCAUUUACUCUAUUGUAUUGUAUUGUAUUCUAUUAUUAAUUAAUGAUUAUGAUAUGUAUUAAGUUUAAGAUGAAUUUUCUCAGUAAUAUAUAUCAAUGGAAUCAAAUAUUUGUAUUUAAAGUUUUAACUCCACAUUAACUUUUUCUUUAUUUUGUCCGUUUGCUGGCGAUGAUUAGGAGAUUAAUGGUUGGUAUUUGUGGUUAGUAGGUUAUAACUCAAUAGUGAACUCGAGGGUUGAUAGUGGCCCGACUCCACUUAAAUAAAAAAUUUUACAUUUAAAUCUCUUUAUAAUUUAUAAAAUUUUAAAUUAAUAAUAAAAAAAUUAUAUUUUAACUCUCUAAAAUUAAUAAAAAUGAUAAAAAUGUAGAAGUAAAUUUAUACAAUUAAUGAUAAUAAUGAUAAGAAGUUGUUUCCUGUCACAUGGAAAUUUAUGGCAUCGUCCAUUUGGUUUUAUAUUUGUCCAUUUGCUUGGUUAAGAGUUGAAAGACAAACUAUAAUUAAGUAUACAAAACCAAACGAAUUUCAAGGGUUUUCUCUUCAAUUAUUGUCGAAUUUAGCUAAUUAUUAGUAAUUUUUAUUAUUUAAUUAUAAAAAUUAUAAAAUAAUGACUUAAUUAUAAGAAUUAUAAAAUAGUGACUUAAUUAUAAAAAUAUAUAUAAAUAGCCAUCUAAUUAUUUAAUUUUUUUUCUUUUUUAUCAUCACCGGAUUAAUGGUGGUAAUUUUUAUAAUUGACAUAAUAGUAACUUUAACCAUUAAUAAUUAUACAUUAUGUCAAUUUAGUCUUGAUUCUAAAAAAUUUAACCUUUGACAUUUACACAUAUAUAAUUUGACAUUUUUAUAAUUUUAUUUUUUACUAAAAAUAAAUCAUGAAAAUAAUAAAAUAUGCAUAAAAAUAAAAAUACAGCUACCGAGUAUAUGUCUUAAUGUAGAUUUAUAACAAUUAUCUUUUCAUAAAGAUAUUUUAUUAUAAAAUAUAUAAUAAGCACUUCCCUGUAACAAAUAAAAUUGUAGUAAACAAAUGAAAUUAUUAUAAAGAAGAAUUUUCUAUUUUCAUAAUAAUAAUAAUAAUAAUAAUAAUAAAAGAAAAGAAAAAAGUGGUUCUAUUAAUUCACCUCACAUUUGAAAUGUGUUAUAUGUAAUAAUAUUAAUGUCUUUAUCAAUUUUGGUGGUUCAUCCUUUCCCAUCUCUAUAAACACUACACCAGAAUAGGUUUUUAGCGGCGUUUUUUAGGCCUUUAGCGACGCUUAUUAACGCCACUAAAUCUAUUUCCGGCACUUACAAAAAAAAGCCGCUAAAGAUCAUGUUCUUUAGCGGCGCUUAGGAAAAAACGCCGCAAAAAAUCAUGUUCUUUAGCGGCGCUUAGAAAAAAACGCCGCUAAAGAUCAUGUUCUUUAACGGCGCUUAGAAAAAAACGCCGCUAAAGAUCAUGUUCUUUAGCGGCGCUUUGGAAGAAAACACCUCUAAAAGUAAUGUUCUAUAGCGGCGCUUGUUCAAAAACGCCGCUAAAAGUAGUGUUCUUUAGCGUCGCUUGUUUCACAAACGCCACUGUUUUGAUAUGACUUUUAGCGGCGCUUUUUUAAAAAAUGUCACUAAUUUUGGGAUUUUUUUAAAAUAAAAUUUUCUGUUUUUUUCAGCCCUCCUGCAACAACAAAUCAAAAGCAACCAGAUCUAAACUAACCAAAAAUAAUAAAUUUAUAUAAUAUUUCAAAUUAAAUGAAUAAAAUAAUAUUAAUUGAUAUAAAUAAAAGUGAAUUUCAGACUUUUCUUUACAAAAACGUUAAAAGUAUUUAUGCAACAUACACUAUGACGGCGGAAGUUGCGACUGCUGAAACAUCUUCAUCAUAAUCUAAAGCUGCUGUUGAAGUUCGUCGUACUUUUUGCUCUACUUUGCUUCUCUCGAUGCCGCAUCUUUUUGAAGCCGUAGCUGUAGUUCUUCACAUUUCUUUUGAACCUCUGCUUCUAUCGCUGCUUAUCUCGCUACGGCAUCUGCUUCCCUCACUGCUGCCUCUGAUUUAAGUUGUUGCUGAAGUUCUUCAUAUUUCCUUUGAACCUCAAAUGUGGUCGCUUGCAUCUGAGUCAUCUAGUCUUUUAACCUCUGAACUUCAGCUUGAGACUGACUCCCCGAAGCCAUGUAUUGGUGCGAGCUGGAUCCAAAAUAUUGGGUUGGGCUGAUAAAAGAUCCUUGAAAUCGAACCCGACCAUACUUUUCAGGACCCAAAACUUUAGUAAUAAUCCGGUUAUCAAUGUCUUCAAGAUGAAUAGAACUAUCACUAGAAGCAAUCGUUUCGUACUCUGUCUUUUUUUCCUUCAGUUUUUCCUAAUAAAUAAAUCACAUAGUUAGGAACGCAAUAUAUAGUAAAAAAAACAAAUGCAAUAUAACAAUAGUCGCAUUACAAGCAAUGAAUUAAACCAUUAGAAAAUAAACACUAUAAAUAACUAAAACAAGUGAAAUCGUAUUAAGUAAACGUACCAUAAUUUCACCAGCUUCAGGAGUCAUAGCAGAUCCAUCUUUCUUCUUAUGUGUAAUUUCAAAAAGUUGAAGGCGUCCAACUUUUUGAUCGGACGACCGUUCCUACAACACUCUUUUUUAAGUUUUUAUUGGGGGAUAUUUGCUUGAUGUAAGUGAGAUAUUUUGGAGAGAGUGAUUUGUAAUAAUUUAGGUUCAAUAUUGAAGUUGCAAAUAACUAUAAGGUAAUGGUAAUUUAGACUUUAGUCAAUAGUUAAUCAAGACGAAUUGUAAAUAAAAAUUAUUUUUUAAGCGAAACUCUACAGAAUAAAACUAGUGAACUCAAACUACUGAACUCAAACUACGCUAACAAAUAUUACAUAUUAUCUUUCCUUACUUUACUUGUUGCUUUACCUUAUUUUAAAAUUGUUUUGUCAUAAAUGUAUUAUGUUUGAACCUUUCCGAUCGAAAUAAAAAAAAUGAGAUUGAAAUUGUGAUAAAGCUAAAAAAAGGUUACAACAAAUAUGAUUAAUAUUAUUUUUAUAUAUACUUAAUAAAAGUUAAAAAGGGAAUUACAUUUAUUGAAUAUUAUUUUAUUUAAUAAAAUAUAAUUACUAUAUUUUAUAUAAAAUUUAAAUAUUUUAUUGUUUGUUAGUUAAAUUUUAUUUUUUUUUAUUUUCUUUAUGAAUAAAAUUAAUUUUCCUAAAAUUUGAGAUAAAAAAUGUUAUAUAGAAAAUUAAAUUAGUAAAAAGUUAAAAAAAUCAAUUCUAAAAUAAACUUAACUAUUAUAAUAAAAUAUUUUUAUAUAAAAAAAAAGAAAUUAUAGAAAAGACUUAUUGAAUAUAUUUCCUAUUUUCGACAUUCAUAAAAAAAAAAAAGUGGUCCUAAUAAUUUUUUUAUACAAAACAAAAAAAAGUGGUCCUAUUAAUUUACCUCACAUUUGAAAUGUGUUAUAUGUAAUAAUAUUAAUAUCUUUAUCAAUUUUGGAGGUUCAUCCUUUCCCAUCUCUAUAAAUUUGCAUGCAGAACUAAAGCAACACAUAUCAACACAAUCUGUAUAACCAUGAAAACCACAACAGCUUCGGUGUUUCUUCUUUUCAUCAUCUUCUCAAUCACACCAUUGUCCUUUUCGUUUGGUGUGGCCAACACUUCAAACGCUCCUGUGCUCGACAGUGAUGGCAACGAGCUCCGCACAGGCACCCCAUACUUCGUUGUGUCGUCGAUAUGGGGUGCUGGUGGUGGGGGGCUUGCCCUAGGCAUGCCUAGAGGAAAGCCAUGCCCGGAAGUCGUUGCUCAAAGAGGAUCUGGUGACGAUGGUAUUCCGGUGAUAUUUUCUAAUUCGGACUCCAACGAUGGCGUUGUUCGCCUAUCCUCUGACAUAAACAUAGAGUUCAUUCCCCUCAGACCCAGAUUUUGCCAAACAACAACGGUGUGGAAGGUCGAUGAUUACGACCACUCAGCCGGAAAAUGGUGGGUGAUAACCGAUGGGGUUAAAGGGAACCCAGGUGCCAACACUUUGACCAGUUGGUUUAGAAUAGAGAAGGCGAGUCAUCUUGAUUACACAUUUAAGUACUGCCCCGCAGUAUGUGGAACAUGCCCGGCUUUAUGCAACAAAAUUGCGAGAGACUUAGAUGGAGAAAUGAUGCGUUUGGCUCUCUCCACUGACCAUGGAUGGCCAUUUUUCUUUAAGAAACUUCAAACAUCAGCCAUGGAGAUUGAACAAGUUGUUCAUAAUUAGAUUGAAAGCAAUCAUUAUGCAUGAACUAGUAGUUACUAUACAAUAUUAGCUUCAAGUAAAUAAUGCUGAGAGAACUGAUUGUUAAGAUUGCCUUGUUUGAAGCAGAAGCAUGCAUAUAUAUAUGCUUGCCUACAAGGUUUGUCUCUCAGAAUCCUCUUUGUACUCUUUUCAGCUUAAUAUAUAAACUGUCUACUUAUUUACUUCUUUUAUUAAUGUCAUUGAUUCUAGUAGUAUUAGACUCAUUAACUUGGAUACAUUGUCUUGUAAUUAACCCAAAAAUUAUAUAUAUAUCAAAAAAAAAAAUGAGAGUGAGAGAGGAAAAUAGACUACCAAGUAACAAGUGAAAAAUGGUAAUACUAGGGUUAUUUAGAGUGGUUUCAAUGCACAACCGGAAUGAAUUGUUACCUUAUCUUUAGAGUCAAAGAAGGGUUCGUGACUAGUCUUUCAACAAUACUAUUUUCAAGGUUCAAACCUGCAUUAUCCUUUAAAUACGUAAUGUAUUUUAUCAUUACGCUCAAUAUUAUUAGUGAUUUACUUUAUUCUAUUCUUAAUUAAUAAUUAUGAUAUAUAUAAAGUUUAAGAUGGAUUUUCUUAUUUAUGUAUAUCAAUUAAAUCAAAUAUUUGUAUUUAAAGUUUUAACCCAACAUUAACUUUUUUUUUAAAAAUUUCUUCGUUUGUUGGUGGUGAUUAGGAGAUUGAUGGCCGGUCUUUGUGAUUGGUAGCUUUUAACACAAUGGCGAAGCUAAGGAGGCUUUAAAUGUUUAAAUGAAUAUUUUUUUCAAUUGAAAUUUCUUUAUAAUUUAUAAAAUUUUAAAUUAAUAAUGAUAAAAUUACAUUUUAAUUUUUUAAAAAUGAUAAAAACGUGGAAGCACAUUUGUACGAUUAAUAAUAAUGAUAAUAUUUUUCCUACCACAUGGAAGUUUAUGGAAACACCAUUGGGUUUUGUAUUUAUGUUUUAUUCGACACUCUUAUAAGUUUUACUGGGGAGAUUUGUUUGAUUGUAAGUGAGGUAUUUUGCGGAGAGUGAUUUAUAAUAAUUUAAAAUUAAUAUUGGGGUUACAAAUAACUAUGGGAGUAAAGUAGUUUAGACUUUAGCUAAUAAUUGAUCAAGAUGGAUUGUAGAAUAAAAUCAUUUUCGAAGCAAAAUUUUAUAAAAUUAGUAAAUCUGAAUUAUUCUAUAAUAUUGAUAUUAUCUUUCUUCACUUUAGCCCUUGCUUCACCUUAUCUCAAAAUUAUUCUAUAAUAAUCUAUUUUGUCUCAACCUUUUCAACAGAAUUUAAAAUGAAACUAUUUCUAUGAAGUGCAAACCAAAAACUUUUUCACAUACCAAUAAAUGGCAAGCAACCAUACCGUGGGCCCAAUGUCCCAACAAUCAUCUAAACAUUUUUUUUUUCUUUUUUAAAUAAUAUGUAAUAAUUUAUAUACCAUAAAUGAAUAUUAAUUAAAAUAAUAUAAACAAAAUACGACUCUUUAAUAUAAUAUGGAUCCAAAAUGUUUCAUAUUUGAAAUGCAGUUUUUGAUAAUUUCACAUUUCAUAUUUUAUCUUAGAACAAAAAGAAAAUUUGAACUUAAUAUUUGGACUAUUGAUCAAUGGUGUUUAUUAUAUUUCAAGACUAUCAGAUUAAUCUGUCGAUACUACUUAUAUGGUAUGGUUUAAAUGGGUGUGUGUGGAUAUAGAAAUUUGAAAUUCUAUUGUAUCAAAGAAAUUUUUUUUAAAAAUAAAAUAAAAAGGAAUUUGAAAUUUAAAAUUUGAGAUCAAAAUAAAAAAAAUGAGACUUGUUAUAAACCAUAAGGCUCAAAAAAGGUUACAACAAAUAUGGUUAAUAUUAUUUUUAUAUAUACUUAAUAAAAGUUUAAAAUAUCAAAUUUGUAAUAUUAUUUUUAUUUAAUAAAAUAUAAUUAAUAUAUUUUAUAUAAAAUUUAAAUAUUUUAUUGAAAUAUUAUGUUAGGUAAAUUUUAUUAAUUUUAUUUUCUUUAUAAAUAAAAUUAAUUUUAUUAAAAUUUGAGAUAAGAUAAUUAAAUUAAUAAAAGGUAUACUUCAUAUUUUAUAGUUAUUAUAAAUAAAAAAUUAUUAUAAAAAUUAAAAAAAAAGAAUUCUACAACAUAAUGAAAUAUUUUUAUUAAAAAAAACAGAAAUGAUUGAUGGAAUAUAUUUCCAAUUUUCGACGUUCAUUAAAAAAAAAAGAGUGGUCCUAAUAAUUGAUUUAUUGGGGAAAAAAAAGUGGUCCUACUAAUUUACCUCACAUUUGAAAUGUGUUAUAUGUAAUAAUAUUAAUAUCUUUAUCAAUUUUGGAGGUUCAUCCUUUCCCAUCUCUAUAAAUUCGCAUCGAGAAAUAAAGCAAUACAUCAACGCAAUCUGUAUAACCAUGAAAACCACAACAGCUUCAGUGUUUCUUCUUUUCAUCAUCUUCUCAGUCACACCAUCAUCUUUUUUGUUUGGUGUAGCCAACGCUACAAACGAACCUGUACUCGACAUUGAUGGCAACGAGGUUCAAACAGGCACCCCAUAUUACGUUGUGUCGUCCAUAUGGGGUGCUGGUGGUGGGGGGCUUGCCCUAGGCAGGCCUAGCGGAAACCCAUGCCCGGAAGUCGUUGCUCAAAGACGAUCCGGUGACGAUGGUAUUCCGGUGAUAUUUUCUAAUUCGGACUCCAACGAUGGCGUUGUUCGCCUAUCCUCUGACAUAAACAUAGAGUUCAUUCCCCUCAGACCCAAACUUUGCCGAACAACAACGGUGUGGAAGGUCGAUGAUUACGACCAUUCAGCCGGAAAAUGGUGGGUGAUAACGGAUGGGGUUAAAGGGAACCCGGGUGCCAACACUUUGACCAGUUGGUUUAGGAUAGAGAAGGCGGGUGAUCUUGAUUACACAUUUAAGUACUGCCCUGCAGUAUGUGGAACAUGCCCAGCUUUAUGCAACAAAAUUACGAGAGACUCAGAUGGAGAAAUGGUACGUUUGGCUCUCUCCACUGGCAAUGGAUGGCCAUUUUACUUUAAGAAAGUUGGAAAAUCAGCCAUGGAGAUUCAACAAGUUGCUCGUAAUUAGAUUGAAAGCAAUCAUUAUGCAUGAACUAGUAGUUACUACAUAAUAUUAGCUUCAAGUAAAUAAUGCUGAGAGAACUUAUUGUUAAGAUUGC